rnacentral:rRNA from 1 species
UACGUAGGGUGCGAGCGUUAAUCGGAAUUACUGGGCGUAAAGCGUGCGCAGGCGGUUUUGUAAGCCAGAUGUGAAAGCCCCGGGCUUAACCUGGGAAUGGCAUUUGGGACUGCAAGGCUUGAGUGCGGCAGAGGAGACUGGAAUUCCGGGUGUAGCGGUGGAAUGCGUAGAGAUCCGGAAGAACACCGGUGGCGAAGGCGGCCUGCUGGGCUAUGGCUGACACUGAGGCGCGACAGCGUGGGGAGCAAACAGG